UACGAAGGGGGCUAGCGUUGUUCGGAAUUACUGGGCGUAAAGCGCACGUAGGCGGAUUGUUAAGUCGGGGGUGAAAUCCUGAGGCUCAACCUCAGAACUGCCUUCGAUACUGGCAAUCUCGAGUCCGGAAGAGGUUGGUGGAACAGCUAGUGUAGAGGUGAAAUUCGUAGAUAUUAGCUAGAACACCAGUGGCGAAGGCGGCCCAACUGGUCCGGUACUGACGCUGAGGUGCGAAAGCGUGGGGAGCAACAGGGAUUAA
rnacentral:rRNA from 1 species